GAUGAAGAACGUAGCAAAAUGCGAUAAGUAGUGUGAAUUGCAGAAUUCAGUGAAUCAUCGAAUCUUUGAACGCACAUUGCGCCCGUCAGUAUUCUGGCGGGCAUGCCUGUUCGAGCGUCAUUACGCCCCUCAAGUCCCCUGUGGACUUGGUGUUGGGGAUCGGCGAGGCUGGUUUUCCAGCACAGCCGUCCCUUAAAUUAAUUGGCGGUCUCGCCGUGGCCCUCCUCUGCGCAGUAGUAAAACACUCGCAACAGGAGCCCGGCGCGGUCCACUGCCGUAAAACCCCCCAACUUUUUAUAGUUGACCUCGAAUCAGGUAGGACUACCCGCUGAACUUAAGCAUAUCAAUAAGCGGAGGA
rnacentral:misc_RNA from 1 species